GCGUUGUUCCCGGUUCCAGACUCCACACGGAGCCAGUCUCUUUUCCUGUCACAAUAUUCAAACCACCUUUUAAAAUUUUGUUUCGUUUCAUAGCAUUUCCCUCCAUCUGGCCAAAUAAAAUCCCCACCAGCUGGGUUUCACAAUACCUGGCAGCCACAUCAGCUGUCUUCCUGGAGCCUGGAGCUGGAUUUCCCCUGACCUGACCACACCCUCCUCCCUCACAUUCUUAGCCACACUCUCUGUCAGUCACCCUUCUCCCGGGCCCAGGCUGACUCUUAGGGAGGUGCCUUCUGCAUUCCUGGAAAGAAGCGGCAGUUGCAUCUUACAGCUGGCAAAAUAGUCUCCCACACGAUGGAACUGACCUACUCGGAUGGGCACGAGAAAUUGUCUCAUGCCAUCUACAACCGAGGAUGCUGCGCAGAUUUCACUGAGGUCAUCUUUAAGUGUUCCCCAUCUUAGACCACAGAAUAACUUCAUUCAGGACAUGCCGCUCCCUCCCGUUGCUGAACUUCGCCAGAGACAGGAUCAAGAGAUAAAGAAAAUGUAUUACUCAGCCACAAAGAAAGAUAAAUUUGAGUCAUUUGCAGAAAAAUCAACGGCUCUUGAGACCACAGUUCCAAGCGAAAUAAAUCAGACACAGGAGGUUAAAUAUUGUAUUGUUUCUUUAAUAGGAGACAUCCAAACUAUAAAUGAUAUAAAGAGCAAAAUAAAAAGGAGGUGGUGGGAAACAAGAAGGUGGACUCUCUGGAGAUGGGAAGGGGAUCUGACAGCAAAGGGAGAAGGGAGGACAGUGUGGGUAAGGUGGAGGAAAAAUGACCACAGUGUGACAUGUACAUAAACCAGUUCCCCCCAUGAGUGUAGCGGUACUGUGCUGCAAUGCAUGCUCAUGAAGAAAGAGUCAGCAAGAAGGUCUGUUGACCAUUAAGGCAGUCUCGGGGCACAGAGCCAGAGCAGAGGGCAGAUCUGGAAAGGAGGAAGGCUGGUAAUUGCACGGCUUCUAUUUUGUGACUGCCUGGCAAUUCUCAGACGCCCUCUAAUCCUCACAAAAUUCUACAGAGUGAAGAUUAUUUUCUGCAGUUUACACCUGAGAAAAUUGAUGCUCAGGUCCUUUACUGUGAUUCACCAUGUUUGUUACGAUGCAAAAUCAUAAUAAUAUAAUGAAGAAAAACAGCUAAAAAAUAUACAGGUAUAUAUGCACUAGAAACAGUUUAAUUUCCAAUGAUAAUAAAAUGUUUUAGCAAUCUUUCCAUACAAGGGAACUUUCUUAAAUCAGUAAAGAAAAAAAUAUUUAAAUCUAUAGAAAAUAUUAUAUUUGGUGGUGGGAAUGUACAAACAAUUUUAAAAUAAAAAUUGUCCUCUGUAUCACUUAUGUUUAAUAAUUUAAUGGAAGUCUGAGCUACUGAAGGUCUUAACUAAUAGAGGACAAAAAUAUAGAAAACAUACAAUGAUUGCUAUGUGUCUUCCAAUAUUUAUGUAUUGGAAAUUUAAUCCCCACUGUAAUAGUAUUGGUAGGUGGGGCCUGACCAGGGGGUGUUAUGACCUAGAUGAACUAGACCACAGUAAAAAGGGCUUGUGGGAGUGGCUACCCUUCUUUCACUUUCCUUCCAUAUGAGCAUUAAUCCUCUCCUGCCUCCUUCUUUACCCCAGGUGAGACCUCAGUAAGAGACUCACAGCAUAAGCUGUAGACUUAGUCUUGGAUUUUUAAGCCUCCCAAAGAGUAAGAAAGAAAUUUCUGUUCUUUAUAAAUUACACACUUUGUGCUAUUUUGUUAUAGUAGCACAGAAUGGACUAAGGCAAGAAAUGAACAAAAAUCCCAUAACAAACCCCAGAAGAUCUCUAGGCAACUUGUUGGUCUAAGCCAUAUUCAAGAAGAUGGCUAGAUAAAAGAGCACUAUACAAAACUCAACUGUGUCUUCACAUGCUAGCAACAGAGAGAACAUGUGGUUUUGAAAAAUAAGAACUCUAAAAUUACAGCAAUACAUGCCUACGUAUGUCUACAGCAGCACAAUUCAUAGUAUAAAAUUCAUAAUAUAUAAGUCUUGGAAGUAGCCUGUAUGUCCAUCAGCAGAUGAAUGGCUAAAGAAAAUGCAGUAUUUACAUACAAUGGAGUACUACUCUGCCACAAAGAAAGAUAAACUCGAAUCAAUAGUAGGAAAAUGGAUGCACCAUAAGACCACAAUGUUAAGUAAAAUAAACUGGACAAACAAAUCUAAAUAUCACAUGGUUUCUUUUAUAUGAGAAACUCGGGUUAUAAAAAGCAGAAUAAGAGAUAGAUAACAGGAAGUAGGGAGACAGAGCUUUCUAAAAUGGGAAGGAGGCUAAGAGAAAGAGGGAGGAGGAUGGAGGAAAGGGAAAGGGGACAAACGGGUGAAGAUGUGUUAUGCACACACUCCAACUCCACACAGGAAAUAGAAACAUGAUGCACUGCAAGCAUGUCCUAAUAAAAAGGAGAUCUAGAAACAAACCUAAUAAAAUAUGUGUAUGACUUGUGGGAGAACAGUUACAAAGUUUCCUGAAAGACAUGAAAGAGACUUGAAGGGAAAAGAUGCUCCUGGUCAUGUUUGGGUUCAGAAAAUAUAACGUCUCUCUCAGAUUAAUCUCUAAAUUCAACUUAAUUCUAAUGAGAAUGCCAAAAGGAUUUGGUAGAACUGGAAAGUCCACCAUAAAAACAACAUCAGAGAAACAAGAAUUCAGCAUACCGAGACAAUACUAGAUAGGAUCAAUCAGAAACCAAGACUUACUGUAAAACUGUAAUAAUUGAGAAAACAUCGCUGCCUCAUAGGCCGUGGAAGGAGGGCUGCCGGUACACAGGGAGCCACUGGCAGGGAGCGCCGGUCUUCCAGCUGGCUAGUUUCCUGCCUCGUAGGCUCCCGGAGGGAGGGUCCCCGGCGCAUGGGGAGCCAUGCGGCGGUGAGCGUUGUUGCGCACCGGCCCUUAGGCCGGCCGCCGCCACUCAAUUGAGAUCUAUCAUGACACAGAGAAACAGUGACACAAUUGGUCCACCAUGCAAUGACUGCAGAUGCCCACCCACGGACGUGUGUGAAUCAUUCAAACUUUGAACAACAUGCCAUACAACGGGACACUCUUUGAAUACAUGCCAUACAAUGGGACACUCUUGCUCCUGCCAUUGAGAACCAGAAAGGUCCAGAGCCAGCGGAGGAGCAGCUGCUGAACAAGGACUCGGAGAACAUGAGAAUGCAGACUAAGCCCACGGAGUCAGAGGUCCUGUGGACUGGGGUCACGAGAGCCGCUUGGAAGCUGUAAACCAGGAGGACCUUGCAGAACCCCUGGAGAGACUCACUGGAAGCCAUUCUUCCCCUGACAGUACAGGCUGUGGUGGAGCUCCGGAGAAGUCUGCAGCAGGAUUCCUGCUGCAUGUGCUGACAGUUGGGGAGAGGACACUAACUGGUUGUGGGGUCCCAAUGCGAUGGGAGGCUGGAGAGAAAACACUGCAAAAAAUGGCUUUUGCUCCAGAUGGCUCACUUGAUUUUUGACAACCCUUAGGCUGUAACUACUUGUUAGAUCCUUCUUGUGUAUCUCUGUAUUCCUGAGAAACCACUUUGAAGAUACCACCAUGUAUUACAACAGUCAUUGAUAUUUUCCUACUAAUCUAUCCAUAACUCUGUAAUGUUUGCAUUGUUCCUAUCCUAUUUCAUAAACGGAUCCAUGUUUAUUAUUGUGUGUUUCCUACAACAACCAUUGAGAAUUAUUGAAUGAUUAUUCAAUAGGUCACUCAUGUAUAGUUCUAUUUAUAUUCUUUAGAAGCCACUUUGAAGAUACCUAAGUAUAAUACAACAACUAUGGAUAAUCUCCUACCUGUUUUGUCUGUAACUCACUAUCAUUUGUCUAUUUGUUUUCCUGAGAAACUAUCUUGUAGAUAACAAUAUGUAAAACAAUAAUCAUUGAUAAUUUCCUACUACUUUGUCUGUAAUUUGGUAAGCCCCCCCUAUUAUUAUGUUACCCUUCUUUUACUCUUUAAAAUAAAAAAAAAUUGAGAAAACAUAACAAGAAAUAAAACAAAUGGAAGAAAAGAACUUAGAUAGAGUCAUACAUAUUUGGUUACUGAUUAUAUGGCAGAAAGGGCAAUACUAAUCAGUGGGGUAAAAGAGUCAGACAAUUAGUUGCCCAUACCAAAAAAAAAACCAUUUGGUCCUCAGCUUAGACCAUAUACAAGUAUCAUCUGUAGCUAUAUAAAGACAUAAUUUUGAAAUAAACCUAAGAAGAAUUUCAGAAGAAUACAUCUUUGUGGCUUUGUGGUAACAUGAAUUGUUUUUUGUUUUGUUUUGUUUUUUUGAGACAGGGUCUCACUGUGUAGUUCAGACUGGCUUUCAACUCACUAUGUAGCUGAAAGUAGCAUCAAAUUUACUGUGAUCCUUCUGCCUCAGCCUCCAGUGUUGGAAUUACAGGCAUGUGUCACCAUGCCUGGUGAGUUUAACUAAAAGAGAUGCAGAGUGCACAUUCCCUUAGAAAAGAUGAUAAAUUUGAGUCAAAGUUAGUGAUGUUUGCUUAGGAAAAGACAACAUAAACAGAGUGAAAAGCUAUAAACUGGAGUAAGAUAUUUGCAACUUGAAUAACUGACAUAUCAGUAAGUAAAAGGAAAAAAGAAUGACACCAAGGAAUUAAAAAGAAACCAGGAUGUAUAACUAACAAAACGUUACUUG
ensembl:lincRNA